rnacentral:miRNA from 1 species
CUUUCAGUCUGAUGUUUGCAC